UUAUUUUUAGUGUAAGAUGCACUUAAAUUUUUGAAAUUUAAAGAAUAGUUUAAUUCUAUAAAAAUAAU
rnacentral:tRNA from 1 species